CCUAUAAGGAAGUAAGAUCCCUGAAAGAUGAUCAGGUUGAUAGGUCUGAGGUGGAAGUGUGGCGACACAUGGAGCUGACAGAUACUAAUCGAUCGAGGACUUAACCUAA
rnacentral:rRNA from 1 species